GACAGGGUGAUUAAUUGAUCCCGCUCGGGUCCCGCGAUGUUCCUGCUCGGCCUGUUCCGCUCGCAGAUAGAAUCAGUGGCCUCGUGCGGUCACAUUUCUCUCUGCCGCGUUGAGAGCACGGGCGUCACCGCCAGUGAGGGCGCUUGUGUGACUGACAGCUCCGGUUCGCGUUCGCUUCAUCGUCAGAGGAAUCGUCUUUUCAGUUUUGCUUCAGCAGAGAUUCUGAAUGGAUCGUCUCUUUGUGCGUCACGGCGUGACGUGAUGAGACUGACUGACACGAGCUUCACAUCUGGGCGUUUCCCGUCCACGGUGGAGGAAGAGCGACCACGUUCAGUUAUAAUGACGGUGAAGACCUGGAGGUCAGGAUCAGAGAAGAACCACGAUCACCAGGCCGCAGCCGGCGAGCGGCCGCGCGCUGCACGGUGCGUACGGAGACACAUUCCUGGCUGAUGACUGACGGAUCUCUGACGCAGCAAGAAGCUACUGAAGCUCAACCACGAGGCACCGACGGUGUUGUCGCAGGACGACAUCGGUUCAUGCAGAGACUGUGUCAUAUUGACUGUACAUACACUGAUUUAUGUGUUUAUUAAAAACAAUUAAAUAAAGGUAUGGGAAGGUUUAAAAUCUAUACGAUGAGGAGAUGCUGGACGAAUGUGCGAAACUUUCUCUGACUUUACCGAAAGAGAGAGUGUGUGUGUGUGUGUGUGUGUGUGUGUGAGAGUGUAUUUGUGUGUAUG